rnacentral:misc_RNA from 1 species
GGAAGCAUGACCUAGGUGUAUCCCGUAUCCUCAAUAUUUUUAAUUUUUGUUUAUUGAUGUUCUGAAUUGUGAAAAGCUAACAGUAGUACAUUUGACUUUUUUUAAGGAAAAAUUUAUGGAAAUAAUAAUUUGUUAAGUCAAAGGAUGAAGCCUUUUUCAAUGUUACUACUUAGGGUGUGGUUGGUAGAAGGUUAAAAAAAAAGGGAUUAAAUGUUACUUUUGUAAGUAUUAACUUUUAAAUAGGGUAAUUAUUAACCUAGGCCCCUCAAGGUUAACAUUUAAUCUCGC